UACGGGGGGGGCAAGCGUUGUUCGGAAUUACUGGGCGUAAAGGGCUCGUAGGCGGCCAACUAAGUCAGACGUGAAAUCCCCCGGCUUAACCUGGGAACUGCAUCCGAUACUGGAUGGCUUGAAUCCGGGAGAGGGAUGCAGAAUUCCAGGUGUAGCGGUGAAAUGCGUAGAUAUCUGGAGGAAUACCGGUGGCGAAGGCGGCAUCCUGGACCGGCAUUGACGCUGAUGAGCGAAAGCUAGGGGAGCAAACGGG
rnacentral:rRNA from 1 species